UACGUAGGGUGCGAGCGUUGUCCGGAAUUAUUGGGCGUAAAGAGCUUGUAGGUGGUUUGUCGCGUCUGCUGUGAAAAUCCGAGGCUCAACCUCGGACUUGCAGUGGGUACGGGCAGACUAGAGUGUGGGUAGGGGGAGACUGGAAUUCCUGGUGUAGCGGUGGAAUGCGCAGAUAUCAGGAGGAACACCGAUGGCGAAGGCAGGUCUCUGGGCCAUUACUGACACUGAGAAGCGAAAAGCAUGGGGAGCGAACAGG
rnacentral:rRNA from 1 species